GGGCAAGUUUUCCUCCGCACAGGUUUUGAUAAUCUCCCCCAUAGUGACAUAAAAAUAAUGCACCAGGAAUGAGUUAUUGGCAUGGAAUGAAACUUAUCCUGAUCCAUAUGGAAUCCGACAGGAAACAACCUCUAUAUGGCAAGAGGUUCAGUAGGAUGCAAAAAAUCUACAAAUGUCCUAUUACAGUUCCAUGAUACAAGAUCCGUGUAUCCUGUGGACUACAUCGGAUCCGGUUGACUACGUCGAUGACCAGCAUUUUUUCUUUGUUUAAUGUUAAUAAAAUAGUUAACGAGUAGUGUUUUUUUGGAAGAAU